rnacentral:rRNA from 1 species
UACAGAGGUCCCGAGCGUUGUUCGGAUUCACUGGGCGUAAAGGGUGCGCAGGUGGGUUUGCAAGUUUGAUGUGAAAGCCCCGGGCUUAACCCGGGAAUGGCAUUGAAUACUGCAGAUCUGGAGGAUUGGAGGGGGGACUGGAAUUCUUGGUGUAGCAGUGAAAUGCGUAGAUAUCAAGAGGAACACCGAUGGCGAAGGCAGGUCUCUGGGCCACUACUGACGCUGAGAAGCGAAAGCGUGGGGAGCAAACGGG